CCUACGGGAGGCAGCAGUGGGGAAUAUUGGGCAAUGGGCGAAAGCCUGACCCAGCAACGCCGCGUGAAGGAAGAAGGCUUUCGGGUUGUAAACUUCUUUUGACAGGGGAGAGCAGAAGACGGUACCUGUCUAAUAAGCCACGGCUAACUACGUGCCAGCAGCCACGGUAAUACGUAGGUGGCAAGCGUUGUCCGGAUUUACUGGGUGUAACGGGUGUGUAGCCGGGCUGAUAAGUCAGAUGUGAAAUCCGGGGGCUCAACCCCCGAACUGCAUUUGAAACUGUUGUUCUUGAGUAUCGGAGAGGCAGGCGGAAUGCCUAGUGUAGCGGUGAAAUGCGUAGAGAUUA
rnacentral:rRNA from 1 species